CCCGCUGAACUUAAGCAUAUCAAUAAGCGGAGGAAAAGAAACUAACAAGGAUUCCCCUAGUAACUGCGAGUGAAGCGGGAAGAGCUCAAAUUUGAAAUCUGGCGGUCCCUUGGGCUGUCCGAGUUGUAAUCUAGAGAAGUGCUACCUGUGCUGGACCGUGUACAAGUCUCCUGGAAUGGAGCAUCACAGAGGGUGAGAAUCCCGUCUUUGACACGGACUGCCAUGUGCGAUAUGGUGCGCUCUCGAAGAGUCGAGUUGUUUGGGAAUGCAGCUCAAAAUGGGUGGUAAAUCUCAUCUAAAGCUAAAUAUUGGCGAGAGACCGAUAGCGAACAAGUACCGUGAGGGAAAGAUGAAAAGAACUUUGAAAAGAGAGUUAAACAGUACGUGAAAUUGUUGAAAGGGAAACGUUUGAAAUCAGUCAUUUCUUCUGGAAAUCAGCCUUGCUUUUGCAUGGUGUAUUUUCCAGUUGAAAGGUUAACGUCAAUUUUGGUUGUCGGAUAAAAGCCUUUGGAAUGUGGCUCUCUUCGGGGAGUGUUAUAGCCAAGGUCAAUACGAUGACUGGGAUUGAGGAUUCGCCGCCAAUGCUCUCUGGGCAGUGGCAUCAUGCGCUCAGGUUAACACUCUGCUAGACAGCUUGCUGACUAGUAGUUUGAAGAUUUGACUCGUGUGGUUCCCACUAAUUGGCGUAGGACGUCAACUUAAUGGUUUUAAAUGACCCGUCUUGAAACACGG
rnacentral:rRNA from 1 species